GAUGAACGCUGGCGGCGUGCCUAAUACAUGCAAGUCGAACGAGUUCUUGUUGAUGAUCGGUGCUUGCACCAAGAUUCAACAUGGAACGAGUGGCGGACGGGUGAGUAACACGUGGGUAACCUGCCCUUAAGUGGGGGAUAACAUUUGGAAACAGAUGCUAAUACCGCAUAGAUCCAAGAACCGCAUGGUUCUUGGCUGAAAGAUGGCGUAAGCUAUCGCUUUUGGAUGGACCCGCGGCGUAUUAGCUAGUUGGUGAGGUAAUGGCUCACCAAGGCGAUGAUACGUAGCCGAACUGAGAGGUUGAUCGGCCACAUUGGGACUGAGACACGGCCCAAACUCCUACGGGAGGCAGCAGUAGGGAAUCUUCCACAAUGGACGCAAGUCUGAUGGAGCAACGCCGCGUGAGUGAAGAAGGCUUUCGGGUCGUAAAGCUCUGUUGUUGGAGAAGAAUGGUCGGCAGAGUAACUGUUGUCGGCGUGACGGUAUCCAACCAGAAAGCCACGGCUAACUACGUGCCAGCAGCCGCGGUAAUACGUAGGUGGCAAGCGUUAUCCGGAUUUAUUGGGCGUAAAGCGAGCGCAGGCGGUUUUUUAAGUCUGAUGUGAAAGCCCUCGGCUUAACCGAGGAAGCGCAUCGGAAACUGGGAAACUUGAGUGCAGAAGAGGACAGUGGAACUCCAUGUGUAGCGGUGAAAUGCGUAGAUAUAUGGAAGAACACCAGUGGCGAAGGCGGCUGUCUGGUCUGUAACUGACGCUGAGGCUCGAAAGCAUGGGUAGCGAACAGGAUUAGAUACCCUGGUAGUCCAUGCCGUAAACGAUGAAUGCUAGGUGUUGGAGGGUUUCCGCCCUUCAGUGCCGCAGCUAACGCAUUAAGCAUUCCGCCUGGGGAGUACGACCGCAAGGUUGAAACUCAAAGGAAUUGACGGGGGCCCGCACAAGCGGUGGAGCAUGUGGUUUAAUUCGAAGCAACGCGAAGAACCUUACCAGGUCUUGACAUCUUUUGAUCACCUGAGAGAUCAGGUUUCCCCUUCGGGGGCAAAAUGACAGGUGGUGCAUGGUUGUCGUCAGCUCGUGUCGUGAGAUGUUGGGUUAAGUCCCGCAACGAGCGCAACCCUUAUGACUAGUUGCCAGCAUUUAGUUGGGCACUCUAGUAAGACUGCCGGUGACAAACCGGAGGAAGGUGGGGAUGACGUCAAAUCAUCAUGCCCCUUAUGACCUGGGCUACACACGUGCUACAAUGGAUGGUACAACGAGUUGCGAGACCGCGAGGUCAAGCUAAUCUCUUAAAGCCAUUCUCAGUUCGGACUGUAGGCUGCAACUCGCCUACACGAAGUCGGAAUCGCUAGUAAUCGCGGAUCAGCACGCCGCGGUGAAUACGUUCCCGGGCCUUGUACACACCGCCUGUCACACCAUGAGAGUUUGUAACACCCGAAGCCGGCGGCGUAACCCUUUUAGGGAGCGAGCCGUCUAAGGUGGGACAAAUGAUUAGGGUG
rnacentral:rRNA from 2 species